AGCAAGCACCGACAGAAGUGGCUGAGGCUGUGAAUGAAAGCACAGUGCUCAGGGUGACCGCUGUGGAAGGACUCGUCAUUUCACACUGGGCUCAUUAGCAUUUCCUCACACGCAGGCAGUGACCACCAUUGAGGGGCAUUGCCCUCAGAUAAGGCACAGCUGAAGUAUCAGAUGCUCAGAGGAAGGAAGGAACUGCCAUGAACAAAGCACAUUGUGCCUCUGAGGAAUUGCCAGCUUGAAGUAUGUGCCAAAACAAGCUGCUUGUUAAGUCUGAAUUUCAGCAACAGAGAAGACACUACUUCCUAAGACACUGCUGUGUUUACGUCAAUGUAAAUUAUUGGGUAAAUUUAAAUGUAGUUUAACAAGCUUCCUUUUGCUGAGGGAGAUGAAAAUAUGACUUACCCUUAAAAAACAUUAUGGGGCCAGGCACAGUGGCUCACACCUGUAGUUCCAGCCCUUUGGGAAGCCCGGCGGUGGGUGGGGGGGCAGA